ACGAACGCUGGCGGCGUGCUUAACACAUGCAAGUCGAACGGAAAGGCCCUGCUUUUGUGGGGUGCUCGAGUGGCGAACGGGGGAGUAACACGUGAGUAACCUGCCCUUGACUUUGGGAUAACUUCAGGAAACUGGGGCUAAUACCGGAUAGGAGCUCCUGCUGCCUGGUGGGGGUUGGAAAGUUUCGGCGGUUGGGGAUGGACUCGCGGCUUAUCAGCUUGUUGGUGGGGUAGUGGCUUACCAAGGCUUUGACGGGUAGCCGGCCUGGGAGGGUGACCGGCCACAUUGGGACUGAGAUACGGCCCAGACUCCUACGGGAGGCAGCAGUGGGGAAUAUUGCACAAUGGGCGGAAGCCUGAUGCAGCAACGCCGCGUGCGGGAUGACGGCCUUCGGGUUGUAAACCGCUUUCGCCUGUGACGAAGCGUGAGUGACGGUAAUGGGUAAAGAAGCACCGGCUAACUACGUG
rnacentral:rRNA from 1 species